AAGACUAUACUUUCAGGGAUCAUUUCUAUAGUUUGUAACUUGAGAAAUGUGUUUCGAAAGUGUUUGGUCUCGCCAACCACGAUGAGGAGGAAUAGCAUCCUUUUCUGAGCGCGAAGCGGAUGUUGAGUACUGAUUUCGAUCAGACGCUCAAUAUCAUUGAUGACCGUUCCUCUUCUGUUCGCAGGAGGUGGAGGAAAAGGGUGCGUUCUGAGUGGU